rnacentral:rRNA from 1 species
CCUACGGGAGACAGCAGUGAGGAAUAUUGGUCAAUGGGCGAGAGCCUGAACCAGCCAAGUCGCGUGAGGGAGUACUGCCCUAUGGGUUGUAAACCUCUUUUGUCGGGGAGCAAAAGCCGGACGUGUCCGGCUGUGAGAGUACCCGAAGAAAAAGCAUCGGCUAACUCCGUGCCAGCAGCCGCGGUAAUACGGAGGAUGCGAGCGUUAUCCGGAUUUAUUGGGGUUAAAGGGUGCGCAGGCGGAUUUUUAAGUCAGCGGUCAAAUCGUGGGGCUCAACCCCAUCCAGCCGUUGAAACUGGGGAUCUAGAGUGUGCGAGAGGUAUGCGGAAUGCGUAGUGUAGCGGUGAAAUGCUUAGAUAUUGCGCAGAACUCCGAUUGCGAAGGCAGCAUACCGGCGGCGAUCUGACGCUGAGGCACGAAAGCGUGGGUAUCGAACAGGAUUAGAUACCCGAGUAGUC